AAAAACUGCUGUUGACUCUGGUCAUAUUGACAGAUGGUCAAAUCUGGUGUGUGGUGUUGUGCUGGUUUAGCAAUCCCAGAGUCCACCCGAGUUUUGAAAGCAUAUUUCCACACUUAGUUGUAAGUUGUAAAUAAGCUUGAUUGUAAUAGGUCAUUCAUUGACAGGUUUCUUGAUGUGAUGUAGCUACCCUGUUGAUGGUCCAUUAAUGAAAGACUGGAGAGUUGGUCGAGCUCCUGGCCAUAACAGAAUUCCCAACAGUAUUGUAUUGGAUUCCCAUUAUUGAUUUUUCUGGGGUUGAUCUCAGAAUGAGACGAAGAAGGCUAGUUAUGAUGAGACUAAAAAUGCUAUCAAUUGUAAAUUGCAGGAAAGAAUCUGAGGGUAACUUAAAGGGAAUCCUUGGAUACAUGGACAACGAUGUAGUGUCCCACUGACUUUGUGGAUUGCCACAGGUGAAGCAUUUUCAAUGGCAAGGUUGCAAUUGUGAAUGACAACUUUGUGAAGCUUGUCACUUGGUAUGACAAUGAGUCGACUUACAGUUACAUUACUGAAUUUUUUGCUUCUGUCUCUAUGAACCAACGGAUGGUAAAGCAAUCUCUUGCAUAUCCGCCACUAUUGGAUUUUCUGUACAGGUUAGAAAAGACUGGUAUUGACUAUAAUAUUGUGAUGCCUGUAAUAAGGUUUGGUUUGAUGAGGAUAACGAUGUCAGAUGCUUCUCUGUCGACUCUGAUGCAUAUAUGGUUUGGUGGAAGGAUCCUAGUUACUAUAAGGAUGUCCAACUCUAAAGCAAAUCAUUGGGGUUUGUCGUGAUUUGCAUGGGGUUUAGUUGCUUCGGCUAGCCAGCUGCGUGUUUUUAGA